rnacentral:rRNA from 1 species
CCUACGGGGGGCUGCAGUGGGGAAUAUUGCACAAUGGGCGCAAGCCUGAUGCAGCCAUGCCGCGUGUGUGAAGAAGGCCUUCGGGUUGUAAAGCACUUUCAGCGGGGAGGAAGGCGUUAAGGUUAAUAACCUUGUCGAUUGACGUUACCCGCAGAAGAAGCACCGGCUAACUCCGUGCCAGCAGCCGCGGUAAUACGGAGGGUGCAAGCGUUAAUCGGAAUUACUGGGCGUAAAGCGCACGCAGGCGGUCUGUCAAGUCGGAUGUGAAAUCCCCGGGCUCAACCUGGGAACUGCAUUCGAUACUGGCAGGCUAGAGUCUUGUAGAGGGGGGUAGAAUUCCAGGUGUAGCGGUGAAAUGCGUAGAGAUCUGGAGGAAUACCGGUGGCGAAGGCGGCCCCCUGGACAAAGACUGACGCUCAGGUGCGAAAGCGUGGGGAGCAAACAGGAUUAGAUACCCUUGUAGUC